rnacentral:lncRNA from 1 species
GCCUCGCUAAAAGGAACCUAAUGGAUCGUACACCGUGUAAGGCAAAGAUUGAAGAAACAAUGGAGAUGAGUAAGGAUAAUUAAAUGGUGUAAUUAUUUAUUGGCAAGGAUUAAUUAAUAUGUUAAUUAAUCAAACGAAUAAGUUCGUUAAAGACCUCGGGAUAAUAUUGGACCUUAAGGCCCAAUGGGCUUUGAACGUCAAGUCCAUUGACUUAAGUUGUAUGACAACUUAAUGAAUAAUGAUUCACAUAGGCCCAAAUAGCCCAAUAAUACCCUAAGGCCGGCCAUUUAGAGGAAGGGUAGUGAACUUGCUUUAAUUACAAGUUUGCCACUCCAAUGAAUAAAGGUAUAAAUAUGACUUUAUAGCCAAAAUUCAUUAAGGGUUUUUUGGAGGAAAUUGGAGAGAACACAAAGCUCUCAUUUCUCUCUAAAGAGGCCGGCCACCCUUUGAGGGAUUAGCUAGAAAUCUUUCUCCUCCAAGUUCACUCAUCUCUUUUUCACAUCUUACCUUGGUGUGAAGACUUAGAGGUUCUUUAUUUUGGGAACUUGGAGAAACAUAUUCUUCCAUCCAAAUCCAUGGAUCUAAG